GGGCUUUGAGGAGAUGUAGCAGCACAUCAUGGUUUGUAGGGACAAGGAGAUACAGACCAUUCUGGGCUGCCUCAUUACCUCAAGGAUA
ensembl:miRNA